UUAAAAUGUAAUUUAUUUAUUAGAGUAGUAAUAGUUAUGUUCUUGAAACUUAAAAAAUUUGGCGGUAUUUUAGUCUAAUCAGAGGAACCUGUCCCGUAAUCGAUAAUCCACGUUGGACCUUACUUAAGUUUGUGUAGUUUAUAUACCGUCGUUAUAAAAAACUUUUUUAGAAGAAUAGUUUUUAAUAAUUAGAAUUAUAAUUUAUAUCAGAUCAAGGUGUAGCUUAUGCUUAAGAGGAGAUGGGUUACAAUAAAUUUAUUUAUAUGGAUUUUUCAUUGAAAUUGAAAAUGAAAGUGGAUUUGAAAGUAAAUUUUUAGAGAUAGAAGAAUUGAAAUUAGCUCUAAAGUAUGUAC
rnacentral:rRNA from 1 species